CAAAGCCGACAUACCGCGAUCGCGAUAUAUUUACUUCGCUUUUGUUCUUACAGGUAACAAACAACAAAGUGGGAUCCCGGAAAGCCUGCACUUUUGUCGUCUAUUGACAGGGUCUGCAAUACGUCGCGGGAUUUGUCUACAUCAUCUGGAGCUUGCCGAUGAAAUGAGGGGCUUGCGUUCGGCUACCCUGGCUGUCGUUGUGCCUGGAUUUCCUCAGCCUUUGCUGUAACCACAGUAACGACCAUGGGCAUCAUCAUUUUUUCCCUUUUCAAUUUUCUUUCUUUAGUAUUGUUUUACUUGCAAGUUAGCUUCUCAAUAUGACAAGUGUAGUGCAUAACGGUGUUGAAUAAUCCACUUUUCACAGUCAGGUGAGGGUAUCUUCACGCAUUACUUUUACGUGUGCUCGUCAAUCUUCUCAAAUGAUGCAGACAAGAAAUAUCACUUGGCUUCAUUUCAUCAGGCAAGCCUCGCAUGUAUAUAUGUAGCAAUCUAGUAUUAACUACCGAUUCAAAACAGUGUUUCAUUCAGCAUGAUGUUUCUUGUAAUGUGUGCAAUGUAAUAAAUCUCUGCUUUGAAGAUAU